CCUACGGGAGGCAGCAGUGAGGAAUAUUGGUCAAUGGCCGCAAGGCUGAACCAGCCAAGCCGCGUGAGGGAUGAAGGUCCUCUGCAUCGCAGACCUCUUUUGCCGGGGAGCAAAGGGCCGGACGUGUGCAGUCCUGAGUGUACCCGAAGAAAAAGCAUCGGCUAACUCCGUGCCAGCAUCCGCGGUAAUACUGAGGAUGCGAGCGUUAUCCGGAUUUACUGGGCUUAAAGGGGGCGGAGGCGGGAAGGAAAGUCAGAUGGGAAAUUCUAGGGCUCAAACCCAGAACUGCCUUUGAAACUGGCAUUCUGGAGUGUGCGAGAGGUAGGUGGAAUUCGUGGUGUAGGGGUAAAAUCCGUAGAGAUCACGAGGAACACCGAUUGCGAAGGCGACAUGCUAGCACAUAACUGACGCUGAUGCGCGAAAGCGUGGGGAGCAAACAGGAUUAGAUACCCCAGUAGUC
rnacentral:rRNA from 1 species